rnacentral:lncRNA from 1 species
CCUCCUCCUGCAAACACUUCCCGGCAACUACCAUGAAUUAGUUAGAAUUGUCAGAAAUCCACUGCCUUAAACUUCCCCACAUUUGAAGCGUAUGUAACACGGUCCGAUAGUAUUAAGAAGAUGUCCAGGUUUCCAUCGAAUGGGUUCGAGUGUUUGAACAACGGAUCGGAGAAGGCGCGUGGAGAAACUUGUAAUUAAUAGAGUGGAAAAGGGGAGUCGCUCCAUUCGAUGAUUGAGAGUAAAGGAAAAAGAAGAAAAUGAAAACGGAGAGGAAUGGGAAAGUAUGGAGGUGCU